rnacentral:rRNA from 1 species
GGGGGGAGCAAGCGUUGUUCGGAUUUACUGGGCGUAAAGGGCGCGUAGGCGGCCUCUGCAAGUCGACUGUGAAAUCUCCGGGCUUAACCCGGAAAGGUCAGCCGAUACUGCAGGGCUAGAGUGCAGAAGGGGCAACUGGAAUUCUCGGUGUAGCGGUGAAAUGCGUAGAUAUCGAGAGGAACACCUGCGGCGAAGGCGGGUUGCUGGGCUGACACUGACGCUGAAGUGCGAAAGCUAGGGGAGCGAACGGGAUUAGAUACCCCGGUAGUCCUAGCCUUAAACGAUGAAUGCUUGGUGUCUGGGGUUUUAUAGUCCCCGGGUGCCGUCGCUAACGCUUUAAGCAUUCCGCCUGGGGAGUACGGUCGCAAGACUG